CGUKGGGGAUCUUUCGGAAACUURGUGAUGGUCUAUCGGUGGGUCUUAGUGCGAUGCCCAUUAACGUCGUAGGAAUUCUUGGCAAUGCGAGGURGUGGUGCUCCGGCACUCUUCCACGUUAUUUCUUAGAAAAUCCAAGCACGUGUUGGGCAUCAAACGACGAUCAGGUUGGAUUUAAACAUAMAGACCACUGCUWGUGUUGACGAGAAUUUUUCCUUUUGCCAAUUGUUGGRAAAUUUGCGCUGUGUUUUCAURCGAUGGUAWUAAAACGAGUUGGAGUCUUGUGCUUUAUUCGUAGAGGACCACUCGRCAAAAUUUAAGCAGYGAUGCUUYGGUUCAAUGCUUGCGUUUUGUCGGAAAAUUCAAAGACACGUCGGGCAAGGGAUGAUGAUGACUCAAAUGACUUGACAAAACGGUGUUGGAUUAAAACUAAGUUGCGUCCCAUUAAGUUCUCGUGCACAGCGGUGCGGGUGAUGGCCUUUCUCGGUGUAUUCGCGUGUCAUUUGGCCGCGCCUCGCUUAGAAUUGUUGUUGCCUAGCGUACGUGGUGGCACAUGAGUGGUGAAUGGAUYGUUYGGUUUGGUUGGCUCCUUGCUCACGUGCAACGAACUAUCAAGCCUCGAUCCUCUUCAUUUGAAAGCCCCGAUGCCUUGUGCACUUCGGGGAACGGAUGGUUCCUGUGUUGAUUACCCACUAUGGAGGAAAUCAAUUGUUCGUUUGAUCUUUAUUCGCUCUUCCUUCUUUUUAAGAAAAAGGGUGGACYAAGUAGUUUUGCCUGUGUUCCAAGCAUGCUGAAAUCGGUUGCUAUGGCCYAUGGGCAAAUACUUGUGCUCUCGGGUGCAGAAAGUCAUGAGGGCGGACGAGACGCUCUUGUCCAUUUGCCCAAUUGUUCCUUGAAAUGAACGAUGUCCGUUCUCGUGUUGAUUUGGUCAUUWCCUUURGGAAUGAUGCGGUCAAUCGAGUUUCGGUGUCGAGAAGGAA
rnacentral:misc_RNA from 1 species